UACGUAGGGGGCAAGCGUUGUCCGGAAUCAUUGGGCGUAAAGCGCGCGUAGGCGGCCCGAUAAGUCCGCUGUGAAAGUCAAAGGCUCAACCUUUGAAUGCCGGUGGAUACUGUCGGGCUAGAGUCCGGAAGAGGCGAGUGGAAUUCCGGGUGUAGCGGUGGAAUGCGUAGAGAUCCGGAAGAACACCGGUGGCGAAGGCGGUCUGCUGGGCAGUUGCUGACACUGAGGCGCGACAGCGUGGGGAGCAAACAGG
rnacentral:rRNA from 1 species